UACGAAGGGGGCUAGCGUUGCUCGGAAUCACUGGGCGUAAAGGGUGCGUAGGCGGGUUUUUAAGUCAGGGGUGAAAUCCUGGAGCUCAACUCCAGAACUGCCUUUGAUACUGAAGAUCUUGAGUCCGGGAGAGGUGAGUGGAACUGCGAGUGUAGAGGUGAAAUUCGUAGAUAUUCGCAAGAACACCAGUGGCGAAGGCGGCUCACUGGCCCGGUACUGACGCUGAGGCACGGAAAGCGAUGGGGAGCAAACAG
rnacentral:rRNA from 1 species